GGUGGCAGGCAGCAGUGGAGGUGCUGCCGGCCCAAUGGGCCCCAAUGAGAGCAGCACCAUGGUGGGAUGGUGGAGCAGGUGAGUGGGCGGUGCCAGGCCAAGGUGGGUGCAAGCGGGCGCCCCGAUUGCCCCACCGAUCAGCCCCGAUUGCCGGUCAGGCCUAGGGACCCUACCCAUGCAUGAAUUUCAUGCACUGGGCCUCUAGUAUUGAAUAAAAUGUUGUAUGCUAUUAUGCAGCCAUUAAAAAUAAUAGAUU